rnacentral:rRNA from 1 species
GACGGGGGAUGCAACCGUUGUCCGGAAUCACUGGGCGUAAGGCGUCUGUAGGUGGUGAUGCAAUUCACUGGUGCAAAACUCUGGCUCAACCGGAGGAAAGCCAGUGAAACUGCAUGACUAGAGUGUGGGAGAGGUAGAAGGAAUUCCCUGAGUAGCGGUGAAAUGCGUAGAUACAGGGAAGAACACCGGAGGCGAAAGCGUUCUACUGGAACACAACUGACACUGAGAGACGAAAGCUAGGGGAGCGAAUGGG